rnacentral:rRNA from 1 species
UACAGAGGGUGCAAGCGUUGUUCGGAAUCAUUGGGCGUAAAGCGCACGUAGGCGGCUUCGCAAGUCGGAUGUGAAAUCCCUCGGCUCAACCGAGGACGUGCAUACGAAACUGCGGAGCUUGAGUGCUGAAGAGGAUCGCGGAAUUCCCGGUGUAGAGGUGAAAUUCGUAGAUAUCGGGAGGAACACCAGUGGCGAAGGCGGCGAUCUGGGCAGACACUGACGCUGAGGUGCGAAAGCGUGGGGAGCAAACAGG